rnacentral:rRNA from 1 species
GACGAACGCUGGCGGCGUGCUUAACACAUGCCAGUCGAACGGAAAGGCCCUGCUUUUGUGGGGUGCUCGAGUGGCGAACGGGUGAGUAACACGUGAGUAACCUGCCCUUGACUUUGGGAUAACUUCAGGAAACUGGGGCUAAUACCGGAUAGGAGCUCCUGCUGCAUGGUGGGGGUUGGAAAGUUUCGGCGGUUGGGGAUGGACUCGCGGCUUAUCAGCUUGUUGGUGGGGUAGUGGCUCACCAAGGCUUUGACGGGUAGCCGGCCUGAGAGGGUGGCCGGCCACAUUGGGACUGAGAUACGGCCCAGACUCCUACGGGAGGCAGCAGUGGGGAAUAUUGCACAAUGGGCGGAAGCCUGAUGCAGCAACGCCGCGUGCGGGAUGACGGCCUUCGGGUUGUAAACCGCUUUCGCCUGUGACGAAGCGUGAGUGACGGUAAUGGGUAAAGAAGCACCGGCUAACUACGUG